GCCGUCGUGGGCCAUGGAGGCCACCCCCUUACCAUUCCAGAACUUCCCAAAGUGAACGGGGCUAACGGAGGUUCGAUUCCUCCCGACGGCA